rnacentral:rRNA from 1 species
UGACUGUCUAGUAUAAGCAAUCUAUACUGUGAAACUGCGAAUGGCUCAUUAAAUCAGUUAUCGUUUAUUUGAUAGUACCUUACUACUUGGAUAACCGUGGUAAUUCUAGAGCUAAUACAUGCUAAAAACCCCGACUUCGGGAGGGGUGUAUUUAUUAGAUAAAAAACCAAUGCCCUUCGGGGCUCUUUGGUGAUUCAUGAUAACUUAACGAAUCGCAUGGCCUUGCGCCGGCGAUGGUUCAUUCAAAUUUCUGCCCUAUUAACUUUCGAUGGUAGGAUAGAGGCCUACCAUGGUAUCAAUGGGUAACGGGGAAUUAGGGUUCUAUUCCGGAGAGGGAGCCUGAGAAACGGCUACCACAUCCAAGGAAGGCAGCAGGCGCGCAAAUUACCCAAUCCCGACACGGGGAGGUAGUGACAAUAAAUACUGAUACAGGGCUCUUUUGGGUCUUGUAAUUGGAAUGAGUACAAUUUAAAUACCUUAACGAGGAACAAUUGGAGGGCAAGUCUGGUGCCAGCAGCCGCGGUAAUUCCAGCUCCAAUAGCGUAUAUUAAAGUUGUUGCAGUUAAAAAGCUCGUAGUUGAACCUUGGGCCUGGCUGGCCGGUCCGCCUCACCGCGUGUACUGGUCCGGCCGGGCCUUUCCUUCUGGGGAUCCGCAUGGCCUUCACUGGCUGUGUCGGGGAACCAGGACUUUUACUUUGAAAAAAUUAGAGUGUUCAAAGCAGGCCUUUGCUCGAAUACAUUAGCAUGGAAUAAUAGAAUAGGACGUGCGGUCCUAUUUUGUUGGUUUCUAGGACCGCCGUAAUGAUUAAUAGGGAUAGUCGGGGGCAUCAGUAUUCAAUUGUCAGAGGUGAAAUUCUUGGAUUUAUUGAAGACUAACUACUGCGAAAGCAUUUGCCAAGGAUGUUUUCAUUAAUCAGUGAACGAAAGUUAGGGGAUCGAAGACGAUCAGAUACCGUCGUAGUCUUAACCGUAAACUAUGCCGACUAGGGAUCGGGCGAUGUUAUUCUUUUGACUCGCUCGGCACCUUACGAGAAAUCAAAGUCUUUGGGCUCUGGGGGAAGAG